CUCAUCCAUAAAACGGGGUUAUGGGAAGGAGCCAGUGAAUCAUGCCCCAGGCAUCACAGGGAACUGAAUGGACUGUGUGAACUGUAGCCCUGCUGUCUGCCUGACCGCACAGCUACCAGCAAGGCUUCCCUUCCCCACUCUGAUCCUGACUCAGAAGAAGACACCCCUCUCCAGCUCUCCUAUACUUUCAGGGCUGGGGACCACUAGUGCAAUUAAACCCCUGGUUUUCAGUCUGGCUGCAUGCUAGAGCCACUUUCCUUGGAUGAAUCAAAUAUGAGGCGGGGCACAGAAUCCAGACGUCUGUGUUCUAACACACAUGGUAGGCAAACAAACCGUGCACAUACUUAGGACUCGCUGGUGUAGCCCCUGGCUGUGGUAAGUAGGGCCUGUGGACCACUGCAGCUUAGCAUCUCAGGCUGCAGCCCCAAUCCCCUGAAUCCAGCUCUGCCUGCCAAUGCACUGCUCUAAGUUCAUGGCCAUGCUGAAGUUCAAGGACCCCUGCUCUGACCAACCUGGCCCAGAGAGUUGAAUCUGAACGGGGUUCCCAUAGCAUCUUCAGAGCAGCUCUAAUGCCCAGGAACCCAUGGAGGAUCCUGGACCUAUGACAAGCCUUCUGGGUGCAUGGAUGGCAACCCAAGUAUUAAACACAGAGUGGCAGAGCCCCUGGCCUGGACUUUGACGUGCAAAACGCUGCCUCCCUGGGAGUGUCUUUGAUAAGGCCCCCUCCUUAUCUACUCUGGAAGCCAGGGCAAUCAGAAAGGGAGUGGAGGUGGGGUAACUGGAAGAACUUUGCAGGCUGUCAGUGAUGUGGGACACUCGUGAGCAGGACACAUGUAACUCUUGGUCCUCGGUGCCAGUAGUUUCAAGGUCUAGUUAACCCCAUGCCAUACUCAGCUUCUGGCUCCCAUCAAGGGUCUUUCUCUUUAUACUGUUUGUGUGUUUUGGUAUGUGUGUAUGCGUGUGUGUGUGUGUGUGCAUGUGUUUGUGUGUGUGUCCCUUCCCCAUAGUACAGCCAUCACAGUGAGUUUGAACCAUCCUGUAAAGCGUGGUGGUAUGCACAGUUUACACUCCUCCAUGGAUGUUGCCUUCGGGGCCUCUGGGUCUGGCUUUUGCCCUCAGCGGGAUCUUUACAAGGCGCCCUUGAAAAUGGAUGAGUCUCUAAAGCAGCUGUAGCACCCAGGAGCCCAUGGAGGAUCCUGAACCUGUGACUUCAACAAGCUCCCUGAGUAUUAAGCCAGAUGGGCAUGUUGUAGGUUGCAUGUAGCCCUCCAGCGUCCCAGAUGAGACAUUGGGCAGCUUCAGCUCCUAGGUGCUACUGUGGACACUGUGGUAGUCAUCCGCCUACGUGCUCUCAGGGCCCUGGGAGGUGGCUGGCUUGAAGAUUGGCAAGCUUAAAUGCUUGCAGCCUAGGUGACUUGCCCAGGUUUGAUUUGGGAAUUGGCAGAUCCAGAGUCCAUCGUGAUGGCAUCAAACAGGCUGUCAGGUCACGUGGCACCACUCCAUUUAUCUCUCUACAUCUUGAUCCCUCUCAUUCAUAAAACAAAACCCGCUGCACAGAUCUGUGAAGCUGAUUGAGGAAGUGAGCCCCACUCACUAGAGUCUCCAGGGUGUAUUAACUGUCCACUAAAAGCUCACUAGAGUUUUGCCUCUCUUUCCUGAGACAUUUGUUCUGAGGCAGGGUCUCACUGUGUAGCCCAGGCUGUGCUCAAAUGCACAACGCUCCUGCCGUAGCCUCCCUUCGUCAAGCGCUGGAGGCAGAGGCGUGCACCAUCAUGCCUGAUCCCAGAGCCAGUCUUUUGGCUCCGUUUACACUAAUAUUUUACUAUUUCCAUCUUGUAUUAUUGGUAAUUGUCCUCCUAUGCAAACUGACCUCCAGCCAUGGUCCUAGAGGAGAUUUGGAACCUAGCAAGCGGACUGACAAAUGCCAGGGCAGGGCAGAAGGUUAGAAGGUUAGAAGGGUGAAGGUUAGAAAAAUGUGUCUGGGUUAGGAGUCAAGGAGCUCGCAGGAAGCCUGGAGACUGGAGGAGUGUGGGAGAGAGGACACAAGAGGCCGAGGUCUCGCGGCCCUGGGAGGAAAGCUCAGGGCCUCACACAGCAGACAGAUGCUUAUAUGCAGCAUUCCUUGUCUUUCCACCCACUGGAAGAUGGAGGGAAGGAGAGCGCUGCCAGCUUGGAUAGAGGAUAGGGGUUUUGCCUGGCUUUGCAGGGACUCUUGGGUAUCCAGGAGCCUUCUGUAGUCUGGGAGAUCUGGGGUCUGGUAGCAGAUGGGAGCUCUGGUUGCACCAACCGCACUCGCUGAUGAUAGCCAGCAGAGGGCGCUGUCCACCGCUACAUAGCGCUGGUAACUAUGAAAACCCUGGGAUGGAGAACCCAAUUAUGUGUUUCACUUGAGACAGAGAGGUUUCUUGACUGCCAGAGUCUUUCAGGGUUAAAACGGCCCAGACAACUGAAGUGCAGUGCUUACCAUGGAGGGAAGAAAGAGCCAACAAAGUGGUCUGCCCAAGGUAUAUAUACAAGUGUACAAGCUUGUUUAUGUCUAACACACCAGGUGUAUCUGUAUCUGCUUGUACCACCAACCCUCCCCCCAAUUCACACCCGCACAUUACACUACAAGCGACACACUCGAACACGAGCACAUGACGAUUGCAAGAAACAUUUUACAAUACAAAGAACACACACGUGCCCCGUAUAUCAUGGAAAAUAAACAGUUUCAUGAUGUAUACGUAUGGACAUAGGCACAAUUCAUGUGCACAUCACAUCAAGCACACAGCACAUACUAUAGGUAUGUGCAGUCUACUCAUGUAUGCCACACAUCUACACCUGUGCACGAGGUGCCACACUUUGUACUACACUCACAACAUACCAUUUACUAUUACUACAUAAUAAAUACAUAACACAUGCACACGUGUCUCACAUACAGUGCACAUACGACAUAUUUAUAACACAUAAAGUACUUACAAUACAUACACUGGCACUAUGCAAACAAAGGCACAUAAUACAUAUAAAAUAGGCAUAGCACAGCACACAUGCGUACUACAUAAACACAUACAAGACAAACACACAUCAAACACACAUAGUUCCACAUAAUACAUGCUCCAAUGCACAAUAGAUACCCUACAUAUAUGUAGUACUGUACAUAUCAGCACACAUUCACAACAUGCAGACACACAUGACGCCAUACCUAUAUAGCUCACACCUGUGCCCUAUGAUGAUGGGUGGUAUGACCUCCACACACAGCCUGCAUGGACAACACCCCAAACUACUAUACACAUGUACUACGUACAACACACAUUUAUUUAGUAUACAUAGCAUAAUAUGCACUCAACACAUGGUGUAUGCGCAGUGCAUAUGUGCACAUGCACAUACGCAGUUCACACACGAGUGUGCAUAUGUAGAGUGCUCUGGAGACAGAGUCACACCCACAUCCCGAAAGCCAGAGCCAACGUUUCUUGUUUACAGAACGAAGUCCUUCCCGUUUUCUCUCAGCCAAUGACAACACGCAUGGACAGAACUGGAAAGCUGCUCCUUCGUCCAGCACUCAUUUUCGUACAGGGAGCUGUGUGCUGGCUGCUGAGACAUGCGGUGCGCAGCUGUGCUGACCUUCUGCAGGCUUUCGGCACAGUGGCAGAAGCAGGCACGGCACAAACAAACACGCUGAUGGCUAUUUAGUGUCUGAUUUCCUGCAUUGGAAAAUGAGAUGUUUAUUAUCUCAGGAAUCUCAGAGUCCCAGGAGACUGUGACCCCCGAGGCAGUGUGAGCUGCUGACAGUAGGUGCAAGGAAGAGAAAUGUGUUCUCACGGGCUGGACGAUCGAGAUGCCAGGAUGAGCAGUUUCCCAAGAACACCUCCCCCCGGCUUGUAGAUAGCCACCUUGCCACUCGGUCCUCACAGUGAGGGAGGGAUGUUUUCAGGCUUCUAAGGAGACAAGAAUGGGAUGCCUGUUUUCAUGGACCAGAAAUGAAUCACGCCUGUUCUUUCAGAAUUAUAGGCUCUGGAAAGAAGUGACAGGAAGAAAAUGUUCUGAAGUGGAGACUUUUGAGUGGAGAGCUGGCUUCAAAAAAAAAAAAAAAAUGGAUUGAGCAUCGUGGGGUUCCUGAAGGACAACAGACCUGCCAGGCUCAUUUGUACCUGGACACUGCUUCCAAAUUAUUUCUUUAGUGUUCCGUCCCAUUCUAGGGUCUUCAGAAGAAAAGGCCAAUGGCCAAAGAGAAGGAAGGAAGGAGAGUGCCAUAUAUAUUUAUCUCCAUGAGGGGUUUCUGAACUCACUCAGGGCUACAGGCAGCAGCUCCAAAGGUGAAGCUGUCAAUUUCCAUGGAGAUGGAAUGUAUUACUCAGAGAAAAGAGGUACCAAAUAUUAUUCAGUCUGG